AGGUAUGGGCGCAGCCUGAUGCAGCCAUGCCGCGUGUAUGAAGAAGGCCUUCGGGUUGUAAAGUACUUUCAGCGGGGAGGAAGGGAGUAAAGUUAAUACCUUUGCUCAUUGACGUUACCCGCAGAAGAAGCACCGGCUAACUCCGUGCCAGCAGCCGCGGUAAUUGA
rnacentral:rRNA from 1 species